UACAGAGACUGCAAGCGUUAUUCGGAUUCACUGGGCGUAAAGGGCUCGUAGGCGGCCAACUAAGUCAGACGUGAAAUCCCUCGGCUUAACCGGGGAACUGCAUCUGAUACUGGAUGGCUUGAGUUCGGGAGAGGGAUGCGGAAUUCCAGGUGUAGCGGUGAAAUGCGUAGAUAUCUGGAGGAACACCGGUGGCGAAGGCGGCAUCCUGGACCGAGAUUGACGCUGAUUGCGCGGAAA
rnacentral:rRNA from 1 species